rnacentral:tmRNA from 5 species
GGGGGUGUUCCGGAUUCGACUUUGUGAAAUAGUCUAUGACGGCAUGCCGGAGAUAAUGGUUGGCUUCGUUAACAAUCCAUUACACUGAUAAAUGCAAAUAAAAACGCAGACAUCAUUGAGUUCCCAGCAAUGGGCCUCAAAAAAGCUGCUUAAUCUAUAUAUUAAGCACCGUCUUGGUUCCUAUGUCUGUUAAGAACUGAAGACGCUACUAACAGAUAUAGCAGUGCCCGCGCAUCCCAGGCCUGUCGUAUUUUAGGAUGAUCGCACUCAUGGAGCGCGCCGUUUCGCGCCACGCUUGUUAAACUAAAAACACGGAUAAGCAUGUAGAUGUUAUCGAUGAAGGCACAGAGGACGCGGGUUCAAUUCCCGCCACCUCCACCA